rnacentral:tRNA from 1 species
GGGGGUUUAGCUCAGCGGCAUAAGCGCCUGCCUUGAAAGCAGGCAGUUGUGAGUUCAAUCCCUG